UACAGAGGUGGCAAGCGUUGUUCGGAAUUACUGGGCGUAAAGGGCGCGUAGGCGGCCUUCUAAGUCAGACGUGAAAUCCCCCGGCUUAACCUGGGAACUGCGUCUGAUACUGGGAGGCUUGAGUAUGGGAGAGGGAUGUAGAAUUCCAGGUGAAGCGGUGAAAUGCGUAGAUAUCUGGAGGAAUACCGGUGGCGAAGGCGGCAUCCUGGACCAUUACUGACGCUGAGGCGCGAAAGCUAGGGGAGCAAACGGG
rnacentral:rRNA from 1 species